AUGGGGGCAACCCUGAUCCAGCCAUGCCGCGUGAGUGAUGAAGGCCUUCGGGUUGUAAAGCUCUUUUGGCGGGGACGAUGAUGACGGUACCCGCAGAAUAAGCCCCGGCUAACUUCGUGCCAGCAGCCGCGGUAAGACGAAGGGGGCUAGCGUUGUUCGGAAUUACUGGGCGUAAAGCGCGUGUAGGCGGUUGCCAAAGUCGGGUGUGAAAGCCUUGAGCUCAACUCGAGAACUGCACUCGAUACUUGGUGACUAGAGGACCGGAGAGGAUAGUGGAAUUCCCAGUGUAGCGGUGAAAUACGUAGAGAUUGGGAAGAACACCAGUGGCGAAGGCGGCUAUCUGGACGGUUUCUGACGCUAAGACGCGAAAGCGUGGGGAGCAAACAGGAUUAGAUACCCUGGUAGUCCACGCCGUAAACGAUGGGUGCUAGACGUUGGCGGGCUUGCUCGUCAGUGUCGCAGCUAACGCGUUAAGCACCCCGCCUGGGGAGUAC
rnacentral:rRNA from 1 species